rnacentral:rRNA from 1 species
AAUUUUGGACAAUGGGGGAAACCCUGAUCCAGCCAUCCCGCGUGUAUGAUGAAGGCCUUCGGGUUGUAAAGUACUUUUGGCAGAGAAGAAAAGGUAUCCCCUAAUACGGGGUACUGCUGACGGUAUCUGCCGAAUAAGCACCGGCUAACUACGUGCCAGCAGCCGCGGUAAUGCGUAGGGUGCAAGCGUUAAUCGGAAUUACUGGGCGUAAAGGCUGUGUAAGGCGGUCGGAAAGAAAGGUGUGAAAUCCCAGGGCUCAACCUUGGAACUGCAUUUUUAAAUUGCGAGGUAGAGUAUGUUAGAGGGGGGUAGAAUUCCACGGGUAGCAGUGAAAUGCGUAGAUAUGUGGAGGAAUACCGAUGGCGAAGGCAGCCCCCCGGGAUAAUACUGACGCUCAGACACGAAAGCGUGGGGAGCAAACAGG